UGAGAAAUAUUGCACAAUAGCGGAAACUCUGAUGCAGCAACGCCGCGUGGAGGAUGACGCAUUUCGGUGUGUAAACUCCUUUUAAGAGGGAAGAUUAUGACGGUACCUCUUGAAUAAGCACCGGCUAACUCCGUGCCAGCAGCCGCGGUAAUACGGAGGGUGCAAGCGUUACUCGGAAUCACUGGGCGUAAAGGGUGCGUAGGCUGACUUUUAAGUCAGGUGUGAAAUCCAAUGGCUUAACCAUUGAACUGCACUUGAAACUGGGAGUCUAGAGUUCAGAAGGGGCAGAUGGAAUUAGUGGUGUAGGGGUAAAAUCCGUAGAUAUCACUAGGAAUAUCAAAAGCGAAGGCGAUCUGCUGGGAUGAUACUGACGCUGAGGCACGAAAGCGUGGGGAGCAAACAG
rnacentral:rRNA from 1 species